rnacentral:rRNA from 1 species
UGGGGAAUUUUGGACAAUGGGGGAAACCCUGAUCCAGCCAUCCCGCGUGUGCGAUGAAGGCCUUCGGGUUGUAAAGCACUUUUGGCAGGAAAGAAACGUCGCGGGUUAAUACCCCGCGAAACUGACGGUACCUGCAGAAUAAGCACCGGCUAACUACGUGCCAGCAGCCGCGGUAAUACGUAGGGUGCAAGCGUUAAUCGGAAUUACUGGGCGUAAAGCGUGCGCAGGCGGUUCGGAAAGAAAGAUGUGAAAUCCCAGAGCUUAACUUUGGAACUGCAUUUUUAACUACCGGGCUAGAGUGUGUCAGAGGGAGGUGGAAUUCCGCGUGUAGCAGUGAAAUGCGUAGAUAUGCGGAGGAACACCGAUGGCGAAGGCAGCCUCCUGGGAUAACACUGACGCUCAUGCACGAAAGCGUGGGGAGCAAACAGGAUUAGAUACCCUGGUAGUCCACGCCCUAAACGAUGUCAACUAGCUGUUGGGGCCUUCGGGCCUUGGUAGCGCAGCUAACGCGUGAAGUUGACCGCCUGGGGAGUACGGUCGGCAAGA